CCUACGGGGGGCAGCAGUGGGGAAUAUUGGGCAAUGGGCGCAAGCCUGACCCAGCAACGCCGCGUGAAGGAAGAAGGCUUUCGGGUUGUAAACUUCUUUUCUCAGGGACGAAGAAAGUGACGGUACCUGAGGAAUAAGCCACGGCUAACUACGUGCCAGCAGCCGCGGUAAUACGUAGGUGGCAAGCGUUAUCCGGAUUUACUGGGUGUAAAGGGCGUGUAGGCGGGACUGCAAGUCAGAUGUGAAAACCACGGGCUCAACCUGUGGCCUGCAUUUGAAACUGUAGUGCUUGAGUACUGGGGAGGCAGACGGAAUUCCGAGUGUAGCGGUGAAAGGCGUAGAUAUUAGGAGGAACACCAGUGGCGAAGGCGGUCUGCUGGACAGCAACUGACGCUGAGGCGCGAAAGCGUGUGGAGCAAACAGGAUUAGAUACCCUGGUAGUC
rnacentral:rRNA from 1 species